GGCUGAUUUACCGGCAGCAGUUCCGAUACUUGGCCACCAAGUACAGUGGCAGAGUAGUGGUGGAAGCUGAAGAUGGCCGUUCAUUCGCCGUCGAAGUGGAUGCCCCUACUCUUCACACCGACUCCAGAGGCUAUGCUCUCCCCCGCCGUGACCUAAUCUGUAAGGUCUCCCAGAUUCUUAAGUCACGUCCUUCCCCUUCUUCUGAUCCUUUCCUUGACUUAUCUGACUAUCUGGAUACAUUGACAAUAACCCUAACUCCCUCUGAAGCUUCUGAAGUUCUCAAAUCCCUCAAGUCUCCAAACCUUGCUCUUCGCUUCUUCCGAUUUUGCCCCUCUGAAAUCCCUAAAUUCCGCCAUGACUGCUUCACUUACAACCGCAUCCUUCUCAUCCUCUCCAAAUCUUCUCUUCCGAACCGGCUCGAUUGCGUCCGCG
rnacentral:misc_RNA from 1 species